UACGAAGGGGCUAGCGUUGUUCGGAAUUACUGGGCGUAAAGCGCACGUAGGCGGACAUUUAAGUCAGGGGUGAAAUCCCAGAGCUCAACUCUGGAACUGCCUUUGAUACUGGGUGUCUUGAGUAUGGAAGAGGUGAGUGGAAUUCCGAGUGUAGAGGUGAAAUUCGUAGAUAUUCGGAGGAACACCAGUGGCGAAGGCGGCUCACUGGUCCAUUACUGGACGCUGAGGCUGGCGAAA
rnacentral:rRNA from 1 species